AUACUCGAUAACCUUCCCAAUCGUGAUAGAAGGGGAAGCAAUGGGUGUGAUUCCACCUGGGGAGCGGCUUACGCAGUAAUCAGCUAGUUGGUGAGGUAACGGCUCACCAAGGCUUUGACGCUUAGGGGGUGUGAGAGCAUGGCCCCCACCACUGGCACUGAGACACUGGCCAGACACCUACGGGUGGCUGCAGUCGAGAAUCUUCGGCAAUGGACGAAAGUCUGACCGAGCGACGCCGCGUGCGGGAUGAAGGUCUUCGGAUUGUAAACCGCUGUCAGAGGGGAUGAAGUAUAUGAAAGCUAUCUUUUAUAUUUGACAGAGCCUCAGAGGAAGCACGGGCUAAGUUCGUGCCAGCAGCCGCGGUAAUACGAACUGUGCGAACGUUAUUCGGAAUCACUGGGCUUAAAGGGUGCGUAGGCGGUUGUCUAAGUCACGUGUGAAAUCUUCCGGCUCAACCGGAAAACUGCGCGUGAUACUGGAUAACUU
rnacentral:rRNA from 1 species